AGUGAACGCUGGCGGUAGGCCUAACACAUGCAAGUCGAACGGCAGCACAGGAGAGCUUGCUCUCUGGGUGGCGAGUGGCGGACGGGUGAGGAAUACAUCGGAAUCUACUCUGUCGUGGGGGAUAACGUAGGGAAACUUACGCUAAUACCGCAUACGACCUACGGGUGAAAGCAGGGGACCUUCGGGCCUUGCGCGAUUGAAUGAGCCGAUGUCGGAUUAGCUAGUUGGCGGGGUAAAGGCCCACCAAGGCGACGAUCCGUGGCUGGUCUGAGAGGAUGAGCAGCCACACUGGAACUGAGACACGGUCCAGACUCCUACGGGAGUCAGCAGUGGGGAAUAUUGGACAAUGGGCGCAAGCCUGAUCCAGCCAUACCGCGUGGGUGAAGAAGGCCUUCGGGUUGUAAAGCCCUUUUGUUGGGAAAGAAAUCCAGCUGGCUAAUACCCGGUUGGGAUGACGGUACCCAAAGAAUAAGCACCGGCUAACUUCGUGCCAGCAGCCGCCGUAA
rnacentral:rRNA from 1 species